GCAAGACCUAAUCAUAACCGUCGUCGUCGCCAUCGCCCUGCCGUUGCUACCGCCACAGCCACCGCCACUGCUACAGCCAUUCAUCUGCCAGCGGCGAAGAAAGCGAUGAAAAGCAAAGCUUCUCCUCCAAAAACAAAUUCUCUUCCCGCAAUGCUUCUUCCAAGUACGAUUUCGUUAAGGUGAAGGUGCGGUUGGGUGAUAAUGCGGAUCACUACUAUGUUCUGUCUAGAUUUUUGCUCAGUAGGUGCGGUUGGAUGAUAAUGCUGCAAUGUGGAUUCGAUUUGGAAAAUGGCCAGUGCUGGUUUAUCUGGAACUCUUUUGUCAGGAAUUGGAAAUUUGAGCCAUCUCCGAACAUUGUUACUACAGAACAAUCAGUUAUCUGGUCCUAUCGCGGCUGAGAUAGGCAAGUUGUCAGAGCUUCAAACUCUAGACCUUCCCAGUAACCAGUUUGUUGGAGGAAUUCCUAGUUCUUUGGGCUUAUUGUCUCAACUAAGUUACUUGUGAGUGUGUCUUAACAAAUAGAUAGAUGAUGAUGUUAUUUUAACCCUGUUUUUUUUUUGUUCCCCUUAAAUUUUAAUUUUAUUCAUUAGUGUUUCUCUAACUCCAUGGUUCCUAAUUCAAUCAUGCCAAGCUUUUCAGGUGGCUCAGCAAAAAUAAUCUAUCUGGACAGAUCCCUCCACUUGUUACUAACUUGACAGGUCUUUCAUUUUUGCAUGUCCUCUACUCCUCUAUGAAACUUUGUAAUACCUUU